rnacentral:lncRNA from 1 species
CAGUACUGGUCAUCUCACUCCGACUUGGAAGCAGUUAAAGAAAGCUUCAUAGAAGACAUUUCUAAAAGUGUCCUGGAUCAUAAGAAAGGUUUCAAUAAGGAAGGAAAAGGAAAUGAAAGGGAAGAAUGGCCCACUCAGGAACAACAUCAUGAGAAAAGGCCUGCAGACAAGAAAGUGUGCUGUGUACUGAGACAAAAAGUAGUUUGCCGUAUGUGGAGAAUGGGAGCUAGAGGGAAGGAAGAUAAAGAGACUGAAGGUAAAGAGAGAAAGAAAAACUGAUAGAAAAGGUUUCCUGAGAAGAAAUGAGAUAUAGAAUCCAAAACACAGAGGGAGGAAUUAGCAGAUGAUGAACACCUUUUCUGUUGUACCAGAAGAAAACAGUAGGCACAAACGUGGUGCAGGAAAGUUCCACAAGGCUACUGGGGAGUCUUCGACCAAAGUCACCCAUCAGAGGAGUCCCACAUGUCCCAGGAAUUUGGGAUUUUUUUGUCAUACUCAUUCACUGAUGGAGAGCAGCACAUGGGAAGUGUGGCUGUGGUGCAAAUGUGGUGAUGGAUUUCAGAGCCAGGUAGAAGAUCUCUUGGUCAAUUAUGCUCCCUGCUCUGACAGGCAAGUUCCCACAAUGGCCACACCAGUGAGUCGGCUCCCUGGAAAUGUCAGUAUAACACAGAGAAACCUCUCCUUAAAAUGGUAGCAUCCACUUUACGAGUUAAGAAGAGUAAGAAGUGAGCAACACAUGGCAUUCUAUUACGGCAUUGCAAGUUGCGGCAAUGAUUUCUUUGUUGUCUUGAUAUCAAAAUUUAACUCUAUCAUGGUAUAAAUUGAUCUUGUCAUUGUGACCCAUGAACAUUUACUGAAUAUUUAUGAUAUGUUUACCAAUGAGAAUGCAAAGAGGUCUCAGACUCUUUAUCUCAAGAGGCUUAUCUAUUUAGGGGGAAAAUGCAUGUAUAUUAAAGAAUUCCAGAUAGUAUAGUCUACCAAGUCUAGAGUUUAUUUAUUUCACUUAUAAGCUAUAGAAUGAACCUGUAAUGCUUUCCCAGAAGUGUAGCAGAAGAUACAAGAUCCUGGGUCAGAAAUGAAGGAUUUUGUGAUUUACAGCACAGCAAGCAGCAGUGGAGUUUGGGGAGCCCACUGCUUUUCCAACAAGCAGAAAGUUAGCCUGAUCUUUGUUGAAGGCGGAUACAUUACCUCAUCUUGCAGGUAACCAGCUGCAUAAACAAGUGUGAGAAAUGGCCUGAGUAUCAGGGCCUUGCAGUCUUGGCUCACCCAGCAAGACAUGUAGGAACUCAAGAAGCCCAAGGAAGGCUGCCUCCUCCAACACAGGCAGAAAGUCAAAUGGUCAAUACCAGUGACAGCACCACUGAAGUUUGGAAAUCAGAAAUAACAGGACAUUCAUGACAUAGGGGAAAUGGAUUUUUUUUUCAUGAAUAUAAACCAAAAAUAAAAUUCUAAGCCCCUCAACCAUCUGAAUGGACCGCUCCUUUUGGCCAGGGCACUCCAAAGUUAAUCUGAAAAACUAAUUCAAGCCAUGAUAGGAAGUAGGGGUCAGACAUGCCUCAUUAAACUCUCCUCCCUUUUGGAAUUCAGGAAAAACUGGACUAGCAUUAACAACACAGACCUUAAGUCUGAUAAACAUUUACAAUCUGUUCUCUCUGAAGCCUACUACCUGGAGGCUUCAUCUGCAUAAUAAAACCUUGAUCUCCACAACCCCUUAUCAUAACUCAGACAUUCCUUUCUAUUGAUAAUAAUUCCUUCAACCAAUUACCAAUCAGAAAAUUUUAAAAUCUAUCCAGGACCUGGAACACCCACCCCUACCUCCUCAUGCUUUGAGUUGUCCUACCUUUCCAGGUCAAACCAAUGUACAUCUUACAUGUAUUGAUUAAUGACUUGUGUCUCCCUAAAAUGUAUAAAAGCAAGCUGUACCCCUACCGCCUUGGGCACAUGUCAUCAGGACCUCCUGAGGCUGUGUCACAGGUGCAUCUUUAACCUUGGCAAAAUAAACUUUCUAAAUUGAUUGAGUCCUGCCUCAGAUACUUUUGGGUUCACAUUACAAAAACGAAGAAAAGAUUACUGCCUAUAGUAAAAUAUUUAUUAUUAGCUUACCUCAACAGGCAGCAGUGGUUU